UCGAAGAUGGAAAUAGUAAGA
rnacentral:siRNA from 1 species